GGGCCAGGUUUUGGCAGAUGAUGGCACAGAGAAGCAUUACAAGUGUCAGGGACAAUGUGAGAAAAGGCAGAAGAAGGAAGACUCAAAUCUGAGAAUGAUGACUUGAUUGUCCAUGCAGAAAACCUAAAAGAAUGAAGAAAAAUAUUUUCAAAACUAUAAACAAUUGUAUUAAGUUUGCAGAAUACAAGAGAAAUAUACAAAAGUCAAUUGCUUUCCUGUAUACCAGCAAAGAAUAAGUGGAAUUUGAAAUUUAAAAUACAAUACCACUUAAAUUAGCAUCCCCCCAAAAAUGAAAUACAUAGGUAUAAUUCUAGCAACAUAUAUGCAAGGUCUAUAUGAUGAAAACCGGAGAACUUAGAUGAAAGAAAUUAGAUGAAAGAAAUUCUAAAAAAAUUAAAUAAAUGGAGAACUAUUCCACGUUCAUGGGUAAGAAGACAGUAUUUUCAAGAUGUCAGUGCUUUUCAGCUUGAUCUACAGAUUCAAUGCGACCUCAACCAAAAUCCCAGCAAGUUAUUUUGUAGAUAUUGACAAACUAACUAUAAAGCUUAUACAAAGAGGCAAAAGACCAAGAACAGAAAACACAAUAUUAAAAGAGAAGAAAAAAAUAGGAGGACGGAUACUACUCAACUUGAAGAAUUACUAUAAAGCUACAGUAAUCAAGAUAGCGUAAUAUUGGCAAAGAAUAGACAAAUAGAGCAAUGGAGCAGAAUACAGAGCCCAAAAAUAGACACACAAUAAUAUAGUCAACUAUCUUUCUCAAAGGAGAGAGGCAAUACAACAAGAAAAAGAUAAUCUUUCAACAAAUAUUGCUAGAACUGAAUAUCUAUAUGCAAAAGGAUAAAUCUAGACACAGACCUUGUACCUUGUACAAAUAUUAACUCAAAAUGGA
rnacentral:lncRNA from 1 species